GUAAAGGUGAUAGCUUUGAGAGAUGUGUGUCGGAGGCGGAGCUUCUGCUGGACCAAUCGGUGCGCCUGGAGCAGGCGGGCGAGGUCUCUGCUGUGCUGUCGGCCGUCAACGAAGCCGUCUCCAAACUGCAGCUGGUGGCAGUCAAGGGCGGAGCUAGUAGUCAAAGCCGGCUGCAGCGCUGUAUGAGAAGAGCCCGCAGCCUGCAGCAACGCAUGCAGCUACUGCAGCAACAGCAGGACUCAGAGGCAGUCAGACAGCAACCACAGCAGCAGCAGAAGGAGGAGCAUGAGGAGGGGCAGCAGCAGCUGCAAGAACAGCCCAGGUACCCCCUGUAGUCUGAGCAGCCAAGCAGGAGUAGUAUUAGCAAAACGUCACAGGUGCAAAAUAUAAAAUUCCUAACAAGGCUAAUUUUUAAAGCAAUUUUAUAGAUGCAUGUUCUCUUGAUAGAUGGUGGACGUGAGCGUUUGUGUAUCCAUCCGUCCAGUACUCCUGUGCACUGCCUCAUUUGCACAGGUUCUGGAAGCAGCCUAGUGUGACGUAGUUUGUCAAGGAGAAGAAAAAGUCAGUGAGAGUAGAGGUACCACAGAUUCUGGUUUUUGUCUCUUCCCAGGACUUCAUGAAGCUGAACGCAGUCACGGCAAAAACUGUAAUUAGACAUUUUCAAGUGAAACUGAAUCAACCGGCUCUGUUCUCGACUUUAAAGCCAAUCAUUUAUUUGUACUACAUGAAACAAUUAAUUUUGUUUGCUUCUUUAAAAAAAUACAUGGGGAAGCUUUAUCGUGUCAUGCUAGUGAAUAGGAGACUACGGUUGUGCAACCAACAUUACAUUUCUUUUGGUCAAACAUUAUUUAUUAGGGACUAACUAACACGGCGGCCUGCAGAGAGCCUUAGCAAGAGAGGUAUUUGUUGUGGAGAGACGUGUUGUGACAACCAGCUCAUGCGAGUGUGAGCCAUGGGGAGAGAUUGUCAACACUCUCCAGGAAACAACCUCCAAAAAACAGACACACACACACACACACAACGGGCCAAAGCUCUCGAUCGACACCAUCUGUUCCAAACAUACUGCAGGUCAACACUUACGCACUUCCUUACUUUGUCUGUCUGUCUCUCUCUCUUUCUCUGCAGUGAAAAGCCUCUCUCGCUCCAAAUACUUUUGACAGACAGACAAUCCGACCAGUCAGCUGACAGUCAGGACCAACAGGCCCCGCCUCUCUCUCCAUGCCUUGUUAAGCCCCUCCAUCCCCAAACCAACUCCGUGUCUGACUGCGGCUCCGGCGCCGGGGCCCAUACAGGUUCACCCAGAGACUACAGCAUGACUGGAGGCCCCUGCUUUGUCUUUGGGAAACCCCUCACCAACACUAGGUCCCUCCCUGCCCUGUGCGUGGACAACUUGGAGGAAAACCACUUGGGAGACUUGGCUCCACCCCCUCAAUCUAAGGAGGCGGAGCUUCCUCCCCAAAGAACCAUAACGGCCCCUAUUUGCAUCCCAGUAAAGGCCCCGCCCCCGCCCAGGCAACCCUCUCAAACCUCUUCACCUGUUGGCACCGAUGACAGGGGUCAUCUGACGAUGUCGGAGGCGCCUCAUUCCACCAGAAACCCACAUUGCAAGCCCCCCCCAGCUUGCCCCAGGGUAGCCCCACUCCCAUCAUCCUACCCAGUCAGGAAUUGGUCCUGCUUAUACUUGGACCCUCACGAUGUUGUCGAUUCUCCCGUUGACCCCCCAAUCAGCUCGCCUCUUUACUCAACUCUCAACUCCAAUUCCAAUGUUCUCCCUCUGUCAGCCGUGAGCUGGCCCGCUCCGCCCUCCUCCCCGCCCCCCAGGCAGGACCACAUAGCGGCCCUGCCUGUGGAGCGCUGGGCGGAAAACGUCAAUAGAUACUACGGCUCCCAGAAUGCAACGGGAGGAGGGGGAGAGGAUGUGCCCUGUGAGGAGCUCUCGGAGCUGGACUCUCUGUACCAGGCCAGUCUGCUGGCUCCCAGCAUGCACCGGGGCAGCCGUGGAGUCAGUCCUCAACCGGCCAACAAUAAACCAGGUGUGAGGAGAAUGCUGUCGGGGUCUGGACGCUCCAAGACCCCAACGGCUGAGAUUGAGAGAUGCGCCUACAGAACACCUGUUACAACUCAUAAGUUGGCUCAAGGUGAAGACGAGAGCUACAGUGCAGCAAACCUGCGACGCAUUGCACGCAGCCUGAGUGGAAGUGCCAUGGGGUCACGACCCCAAAGUCCCAGCUCCUCCCACAGCUGUGAGCCCCCUAUGUCCAGGCCCCCCCUCAAACACUCUACCUCUUCCUCCUCCCUCCUCCGUCGCCCAAGCGCCUCCUCCCUGCCCGUCCCCUCCUCUUCCUCAACCUCCUUCCCUGCAGACCACUCCUCCCACCUUCUCCAACACCACCAACCCCGAAACCACGGCCCCCCAGCUCCUGCACAUCCUCCACAGCACCCUCCCUUGCAGACAUCACGGCCCCCCAACCUGGGCCCCUCAUCCUGGGGACACUCAGAAGCUGGACCGAGUCUCCAGCAGCCGUUUCUGGUUGUGUCUGACAGGCGUCCGUCUCUCUCUGGUCAAAGCCUCCACAAUGUCGCGUUGAGUUACGGCACUCUGCCCCGUGCUCCUCGCCGAGCGCCUCCUCCUCCCUCCUCCUCCUCCACCGCCACUCUCCCCAGGCCCAGAGCCGUCUCCGGUCCCGCCCCCCCGCUGCCAAGUCCACAUAGUCUCUACGCCACCCUUUCCCGCCCUCGGCGCUCUGCCAACGCUAACGGUCACUACCGGCAACCGUCGCUGCCCAUUAAUCUCAACGGCUCCGCCCAUUACGCCCCGGCCCACCCCAGGGGGGCGGGGGAGGCCCCCGCCCAGCCGCUCCGCCUCGACGUGCCCCCUGAGACCGACUGGCGUCGAGAAGCCGACUACAGAACUCUCAGCUCCUCUUGGGACCCCCGCGCCCUCAGCCGCCCCCACCAGCCCAUCCAGCACCACCAGCCCCUCCAGCGGACCAACUCCCACCAGCCCCCCCCGGCCCCGCAGGGACCCCCAGCUCUGCUCGCUGUGCCAGCAGCUCCCUGCUGA
ensembl:lncRNA